rnacentral:rRNA from 1 species
AGAGUUUGAUCCUGGCUCAGGAUGAACGCUAGCUACAGGCUUAACACAUGCAAGUCGAGGGGCAGCAUUUCAGUUUGCUUGCAAACUGGAGAUGGCGACCGGCGCACGGGUGAGUAACACGUAUCCAACCUGCCGAUAACUCGGGGAUAGCCUUUCGAAAGAAAGAUUAAUACCCGAUGGCAUAAUUAGACCGCAUGGUCUUAUUAUUAAAGAAUUUCGGUUAUCGAUGGGGAUGCGUUCCAUUAGGCAGUUGGUGAGGUAACGGCUCACCAAACCUUCGAUGGAUAGGGGUUCUGAGAGGAAGGUCCCCCACAUUGGAACUGAGACACGGUCCAAACUCCUACGGGAGGCAGCAGUGAGGAAUAUUGGUCAAUGGGCGCAGGCCUGAACCAGCCAAGUAGCGUGAAGGAUGACUGCCCUAUGGGUUGUAAACUUCUUUUAUAUGGGAAUAAAGUUUUCCACGUGUGGAAUUUUGUAUGUACCAUAUGAAUAAGGAUCGGCUAACUCCGUGCCAGCAGCCGCGGUAAUACGGAGGAUCCGAGCGUUAUCCGGAUUUAUUGGGUUUAAAGGGAGCGUAGGUGGACAGUUAAGUCAGUUGUGAAAGUUUGCGGCUCAACCGUAAAAUUGCAGUUGAUACUGGCUGUCUUGAGUACAGUAGAGGUGGGCGGAAUUCGUGGUGUAGCGGUGAAAUGCUUAGAUAUCACGAAGAACUCCGAUUGCGAAGGCAGCUCACUGGACUGCAACUGACACUGAUGCUCGAAAGUGUGGGUAUCAAACAGGAUUAGAUACCCUGGUAGUCCACACAGUAAACGAUGAAUACUCGCUGUUUGCGAUAUACAGUAAGCGGCCAAGCGAAAGCAUUAAGUAUUCCACCUGGGGAGUACGCCGGCAACGGUGAAACUCAAAGGAAUUGACGGGGGCCCGCACAAGCGGAGGAACAUGUGGUUUAAUUCGAUGAUACGCGAGGAACCUUACCCGGGCUUAAAUUGCAUUUGAAUAUAUUGGAAACAGGUUAGCCGCAAGGCAAAUGUGAAGGUGCUGCAUGGUUGUCGUCAGCUCGUGCCGUGAGGUGUCGGCUUAAGUGCCAUAACGAGCGCAACCCUUAUCUUUAGUUACUAACAGGUCAUGCUGAGGACUCUAGAGAGACUGCCGUCGUAAGAUGUGAGGAAGGUGGGGAUGACGUCAAAUCAGCACGGCCCUUACGUCCGGGGCUACACACGUGUUACAAUGGGGGGUACAGAAGGCAGCUACCUGGUGACAGGAUGCUAAUCCCAAAAGCCUCUCUCAGUUCGGAUCGAAGUCUGCAACCCGACUUCGUGAAGCUGGAUUCGCUAGUAAUCGCGCAUCAGCCAUGGCGCGGUGAAUACGUUCCCGGGCCUUGUACACACCGCCCGUCAAGCCAUGAAAGCCGGGGGUACCUGAAGUACGUAACCGCAAGGAGCGUCCUAGGGUAAAACUGGUAAUUGGGGCUAAGUCGUAACAAGGUAGCCGUACCGGAAGGUGCGGCUGGAACACCU